CAGCCGCCGCGGUAACACGGAGGGAGCUAGCGUUGUUCGGAAUUACUGGGCGUAAAGCGCACGUAGGCGGCUACUCAAGUCGGGGGUGAAAGCCCGGGGCUCAACCCCGGAACUGCCCUCGAAACUAGGUAGCUAGAAUCUUGGAGAGGUCAGUGGAAUUCCGAGUGUAGAGGUGAAAUUCGUAGAUAUUCGGAAGAACACCAGUGGCGAAGGCGACUGACUGGACAAGUAUUGACGCUGAGGUGCGAAAGCGUGGGGAGCAAACAGGAUUAGAUACCCGAGUAGUCCCUGUCUCUUAUAU
rnacentral:rRNA from 1 species